rnacentral:rRNA from 1 species
UACGUAGGCGGAAAAUUAAGUCAGUAGUGAAAUCCUGCAGCUUAACUGUAGAACUGUUAUUGAUACUGGUUUUCUUGAAUAUAGUUGAGGUAAGCGGAAUGUGUAGUGUAGCGGUGAAAUGCUUAGAUAUUACACAGAACACCGAUUGCGAAGGCAGCUUACUAAGCUAUGAUUGACGCUGAGGUACGAAAGCGUGGGGAGCGAACAGGAUUAGAUACCCUGGUAGUCC